rnacentral:misc_RNA from 1 species
AUGAAAGAAUGUUUUCUUUGGCUCACAAAUCACUGUUAUAUUAUAGAAUUCAUUCUUAUAAUGAAUGAAGGAAACUACUUGUCGCCAUUAAUUAAAGACAAGGGCUACUCUUCAAUGAAACUAUAAUAAUCACCUUCAUAUGCCAGAUACUUGGCAUCAUUGUUUCAUCACCAAGUAGACCACAAUAACUUAAUUGAUAGGCAAGGUGGCAAUUGAUUAUAUUAGAUAUCCUAACUGCAUUGGUGUGGUGCCCAGCUAAGUAAACAACAGAGGGUGAAAAUUAUUAGGUCCGGCCUCUCUCAGAGACUGCCUCAUCGUGUAGUACAUAUUAUCAAACGCUUGAUGUUUCACAGAGAUAAUAGAGUGCUUUCACAACUUACAUGCGUACGAAUUCAUUGAAGCGUCCAAGCUUAUUAACACCAUGACCGAAGACAAUUGGAGGAAAACUAGAAACCAAAAAUCCAUUUACAAAUUUUGUAAACCAUCCAUGCAUCACGCAGAUGAUGGAAAGGAUAUGUUUACCAAUUUGGAGCUUGCUAUUUCAAUAUAGGAUCUAUUUCUCAUACAUUUACCAAUUCCUAGCUGUUUUCUAAAUUUGAAAUCAUUCCUCUUCAUGUAGCCUUUCUCUUCUUCUGCAGUUUCUGCAAUUUCUUCCACUUGAGAUAAAUUUGGUAUGACAACCCAGAGAAGACCAUGACUAUACAGCCCCAUUGUUUAGUUGACAAGGGAUUGCCACUUAACAAUGAAGACACCACAAUGCUGACAAAUUUGCGGGUUGUGGUGAUUGUGGUGUUAGCAAGAGAGCCAAACCGGCUUAUGGUUAAAAAUAUAAAAUUCUGCCCCACUGCACCACAGAGGCAAUAGAGAAAAAUGUCCCAAGCUGCCUCAGGGUGCUGUUUACAGAAUUGAACUGCAUCAAAUCCAAUGCCCUGUGGCCACCCAAACAUGUAGAGCAUGUUAUAUAUGGUACCCCAUAAAUUCAUUCCCAGCAUUAUAUCCCAGGCAGUUGUCUUUGGAUACCUUGCAGUCAGUGAAUCCUGAGUUGCAUUUGUAAAUCCAUCAAAUGCAAGGUUCAAAAAGCAAAGGCCGUAUCCAAGGGGCGCAUUUGGAUGUGCCAGCUUGCUAAUGGUCUUUGAGCUAGUCUGAAAUCAGUGACAGCAAUCAGAGAAAAAGUAAAGAGUCAAUAUUAAGAUUUUAUUGAUUCAAGAUAAGUUUUCUGAAGAAAUUCUUAAAAUGCAUUCCUGACCUUCAAUAAUGCAAAAAUAGAUACCCCUCCAGCAACAAGGAAAGUACAUAUAUACUCUGGAAAGGUGUAUCUGAUACCAUAAACUAAAGUGCCCAUCAACAUAACAGGAAUCAUUUUUGAGGAUUUUGCCAGGACCUGGGCAGGAUAACUAAUAUAUUUUAAUGCUUCAAUCCCCAUGGCGGGGCCAAUUGUGUUUGUAAUGCCUGCGCUCCAGUAUGUCCACCAGGGGGCGCCACCUGCACUGCUUCUGGACCAAAUCUUUAUCAUCAUAUAAGACCAAACUAAGCAGACAACAUUUUGCGCCAGAUUUAGGAAUGCCAGAUGCUCAAACCUCUUCCCAUCCGGACCAAAUCGUUUUGUUGAUAGAGUUUCUUGGAGAACGCCUUGGUAAAUGUAAGCCGACCAGAUUCCGGCAACGCAAAAGGCCAACACUAACACUCGCCGGAGACCGGCGCCGUGUGCUUCCAUUUCGCCGCCGGAAGUCCCGAUUACAAAAUUUUUGGCGGGGUUUU